rnacentral:rRNA from 1 species
GAUGAACGCUGGCGGCGUGCCUAAUACAUGCAAGUCGAGCGAACGGACGAGAAGCUUGCUUUUCUGAUGUUAGCGGCGGACGGGUGAGUAACACGUGGAUAACCUACCUAUAAGACUGGGAUAACUUCGGGAAACCGGAGCUAAUACCGGAUAAUAUUUUGAACCGCAUGGUUCAAAAGUGAAAGACGGUCUUGCUGUCACUUAUAGAUGGAUCCGCGCUGCAUUAGCUAGUUGGUAAGGUAACGGCUUACCAAGGCAACGAUGCAUAGCCGACCUGAGAGGGUGAUCGGCCACACUGGAACUGAGACACGGUCCAGACUCCGACGGGAGGCAGCAGUAGGGAAUCUUCCGCAAUGGGCGAAAGCCUGACGGAGCAACGCCGCGUGAGUGAUGAAGGUCUUCGGAUCGUAAAACUCUGUUAUUAGGGAAGAACAUAUGUGUAAGUAACUGCGCACAUCUUGACGGUACCUAAUCAGAAAGCCACGGCUAACUACGUG